rnacentral:sRNA from 1 species
CCUUGAUCCUGAGCUUGACCGGGCUCCAGAGGGCAAAUGGAGCUGCCCUCACUGUGAGAAGGAGGGGGUCCAGUGGGAGGCCAAGGAGGAAGAAGAAGAAUACGAAGAGGAGGGAGAGGAGGAAGGGGAGAAGGAGGAGGAGGAUGAUCACAUGGAGUACUGCCGCGUGUGCAAGGACGGCGGGGAGCUCCUGUGCUGUGACGCGUGCAUCUCCUCCUACCACAUUCAUUGUCUAAACCCUCCCCUGCCUGACAUUCCCAAUGGUGAAUGGCUGUGUCCCCGAUGCACAUGCCCCGUGCUGAAGGGUCGAGUGCAGAAGAUCCUACAUUGGCGGUGGGGGGAGCCACCUGUAGCAGUGCCAGCCCCUCAACAGGCAGAUGGAAAUCCAGAUGUCCCACCCCCCCGUCCUCUUCAAGGCAGAUCAGAGCGAGAGUUCUUUGUCAAGUGGGUAGGACUAUCCUACUGGCACUGCUCCUGGGCCAAGGAGCUUCAGGUACUAGGACCUUUUCUUUCCCUCUC